UGACAAUUUUCCAGUGGUAUAAUACUCCCUUAGCAUCAGCAGACGUUUAUUGUCUGGGAGUGGUCCGGGGUUCGAUUCCCCGCGAGUCCA